AUUGAACGCUGGCGGCAUGCCUUACACAUGCAAGUCGAACGGCAGCACGGGUGCUUGCACCUGGUGGCGAGUGGCGAACGGGUGAGUAAUACAUCGGAACAUGUCCUGUAGUGGGGGAUAGCCCGGCGAAAGCCGGAUUAAUACCGCAUACGAUCUACGGAUGAAAGCGGGGGACCUUCGGGCCUCGCGCUAUAGGGUUGGCCGAUGGCUGAUUAGCUAGUUGGUGGGGUAAAGGCCUACCAAGGCGACGAUCAGUAGCUGGUCUGAGAGGACGACCAGCCACACUGGGACUGGGACACGGCCCAGACUCCUACGGGAGGCAGCAGUGGGGAAUUUUGGACAAAGGGCGAAAGCCUGAUCCAGCAAUGCCGCGUGUGUGAAGAAGGCCUUCGGGUUGUAAAGCACUUUUGUCCGGAAAGAAAUCCUUGGCCCUAAUACGGUCGGGGGAUGACGGUACCGGAAGAAUAAGCACCGGCUAACUACGUG
rnacentral:rRNA from 1 species